rnacentral:lncRNA from 1 species
CAGAGUUCUUAUAGUGUGCACGUAGAGAUCCUUAUUCAAUUUAAGCGCUCCUUCUAGCACCAGGAUGGAAUCAGCAGCCUGCUCUUUCAACACUUUCAAAAUGUUUUCAGUGAGUUCCUUUUCCUGCUGCAUCUGGUUCAUCACGUUCAGUUGAGGCGGACCAGGUUUCACUUGCUUUACAGGAAAACUGCUUUUAACAAUGGUCCUUAUGGCCCAUCUGUUGUAGAGUAGUAUGGCCAUUGCAGUGGUUGGGGGUAGGCUGGACAGGUCAACAUCCACAUGUUUAGUCCCUGGGGGAACUUUGCUGAUGCACAGAAGCUCAUUCAGGAGCAUGUUCAAUACAGGAACAGAUAAGCUUUUCUCCAACACAUCCAAAUCCCACUUCAGAUGAGCAGCAACUUUAAGAGCAAGAAGUUUCAGAAUGCGGUUUCUUUUGUUAUCAGGAGGUGGCUGGACCUGGUUCUGUUCAUUCACCGACGGUUUGGAAGCUUGUUCCAGGAACUGCACAAUCAGCUGCACAGGGGGAGGAUCGGGAGAAGGCUUGCGCAGGUGCUGCUCCAGCAGAUCUUCCUCCAGCAGGAACUCGAACCAGGAGGUCUGCGGCGGAGUACAGGGCCGGCUGGAGGUGGCGGCCUCCCGGUCCGCCGCUUCGGCGCUCAUCGCUGCAGCGGCCCCGCGGGCACCCACGGACACAGCAGAAACAGCGCCCGCCCGCGGAGAAGGCGGUCCCACCUACAAGAUGGCCGCCGCGCACCGCCCCGCGCUGCCCGCUGCGCCAGAGGCGGUGCUGUGCUCAGACCCCGCCCGCUGCCGGGGGGAGGGAAGAUGGCGGUUGUGAGGGUAGGGACGUGCGGGCCACGUUCGGGCCUCGGUGCUGCUCAAGAGAAAAGCUAACAAGAAACACAGGCAUUUAAAAUGUUUUAUAUUUAACUUUUAUAAUCCUUAUUUCAACGUCUAAAAUGGAUGCAGCUGAAAACAAGAGGGCCCCACACGUUGCUACCCCCUAGUAAAAGUCACAUCAGGGAGAAAAUGAUUAAAGUUCUUUUAUCCAGGACAAUGCUAGUAGCUCUCUGCACUCUACGCAGACAAAAAGGGAUAUUAUAAUUCUCUAGUACUCAAACCCUGCAUCCCAAGGUUUUCAAGAAGAUUAAAAGCCUUGGCGCUUCUACCAUUAAAUAAAAAUUUAUACAGUACAUAUAAAAAAGACUAUUUUCCUGGGGAAAGUAUUUCAUAAUAUUAUAACUAAAAACAUGUAUCAAGUAAAUUACUCGGUGUACUUUAUGUAUAAAAAAGGGCAUCUUGUAGAAGUAGCGUCCAUCUGUCACAGCAACAUCUCGAGUUCCUUCAACUCCAGUUACAAAUGUCCAUGUGAAGGCUCAUAGAGUUCUUUAAGCUUGUCAAACUUUGACCCCCACUCUUGGAGGCAGUCAUAAUUUAGGUCUUCAUCACCGCUAAUGGAGUUUAAGGAGCUAAGGCUCCCUGCUAGAGAGCAUUCUCCUUCUAAGCAGUAGAAAUGAACAGUGUCAGCUGGAAGAUUCUGUAGAUCAUUGUCUGCAUCCUGGAUGAUUUGAGAAACAUAUUCCUUGAAGUCUGGAACACUACUAACAGCUGACGUUGAUUGUUUUUGCUGUGCACGGUUUGGGACUGAGCCUCUUUUUGGUCCAGUGGGUGUCCUGGAACGUGGAAACGUUGCCCUCAAGGAGAAGUGGGGAAUGCUACGGAGAGGUUUCUUCAGUUCAGCUACAUUGUAAGCAUUCUGGGGAAAAACAAAAACAAAAAUGCAAAUGUCAGAGAGAAAAUGCAAAAGGAAAUAGGUUCAAAAAAUGUUUUGAAGCCCGAUGCAAUACAAAACUGGAUUCCGAGUUUUCUAUAAACUGAAGAAAAGAGAGGGCUGAGUUCAGCUCAGCGCCCUUCGGGUGAUGGCAGUCUUCAAGUAAAUCUAGAAUGGUGUGUCCAGAGAAGGCCCCUCAAAGGUGGCCACAGAUGACCAGCAUGAAAAGGACAGAUUAUGCUGUAAGAGAAUUCUCCCACCCAAAGAGUAAUUCAGGCUAAAAAAAAAAAAAAAAAAGCCUAUUGGCUAAGGACAAUAGAGAAAAAAACAAAAAUUAUGGGAAAGGAAAGUGAGGAGAGGCUGGAUUUGCAAAGACUGGAUUGAAGCUGCAUCAUACCUGGUCAUGUUCUCCACCUCCUUCUUCAUUAUAAUUGAAGACAUUUUCUCUAACAUCCUCCCAGCUUUCACGCUCUUCAGGAAUGUGGUAAAUUCCUCCUUUCCGAAACCCUGAACUUCCCCACUGACUCCACACUGUAUAAGAAACUAAGAGAGCUAGAAGAAAUGAAUACACAUAUUUGUUAUAUGACAUAUGACAAAAUAUGAUGUAUGAAAAACAAGUAGUUACAUGAUUCCUGGAAUCAUCGUAGAAUCACAGAAUCAUAGGAUGGCUUGGGUUGGAAGGGACCUCAAGGAUCAUCAAGCUCCAACCCCUUGCAGCACGCAGGGGCGCCAACCUCCACAUUUAAUCCACUUUUAAUUUGACAAUCAAAUUCCCAGUUAAAAACUGUGUAAUCAUUAAUAUAUAAACAAUUUAUAUUCAGG